ACAUCAGUACCUGCUAACUGGAUUAUUCAUUAAAGUCUGCUGUAAUUAUUGUCCAUCCCUAUUUCUAACAUCAACACCUACAUGCUGUACUCCUGCAUUAUUUGCAACGCAGGUCUGAGACCUCUGGCAGCUAUAAGUUCUGUGUUACACAGAGAAAUAUAUUUCAUUUGAAUGACAACUUUAAUAUGCCACUAGCUCUGCAAAGGAAUACGUGAAGCUGAGCAUUGCAAAGGAUGCGUUGUGUAGCAUUAAAGAACAAAGAAAUACAACACAGAAAAAGAAGGAAAAGAGGAAAGAAAAAAGGAGUAUCUGAGGCAAUAACUAUUUCUUCUCCUGCUAACCCUAACAAGCAUUUCUCCCAUGACUUGCUUGUUGUUCAAAGUGCAGUGUCCAAGUGAAAGCCAGGACUGCUGGUUGGAGGUGCCAGGUCUGGUUAAACACAGCAGAACCAAACAAAGAGCUCCUCCAAACCUGCAGAACUCAGUGGACAGACCUCUUGGUUCUCCCCCAUCUGGAAUAACUCCUCGAGCACAAGCAACCCCAGUGAAACACGGAACUAUUUCUAUUCACAUGGAACUAUUCACUGCCUCAGAAACCUCUCACAUGAACAUUUCAGAAGUUAUUCAAGGAAUCCUCUGACAAGGCAGUUAAGGCAGAACCUGACAUUUCUGACAUUUUUCCUUUGAAAAGGAAACACAAAUGAAUAACCCACAAGUACUGUAAGUUGAAAAUCACCACCUCCAUCAGUGCCACAGAUUCCCUACUCUAAACACACCCACCCUGGUGUGACUUUUUUAGGACACCUGGCUCAAGAAAACCUAUUUCUGUGAUAAACAGGUAAGCAUAUUUUUUUUGAAGGGGUAUGGAAAAUCAUAUGCAAGUGAGCAAAUAAGGACUCCUUCAUGUGGAACUGUUUCUCAUUACAGACAGGGUUUUUUCCUCAACAGCUUCAAUAUGAGAUUGUCAUUUUCCUCCUCUCCAAGCCCUCGUGGAAUACUCCCUAUGGAUGUAAUGCUGUGAGACGUGAAGUACCUCAUAAGAAAUUAAUUACCUCAACUCCACUGCUACAACUGGAGUACUAAGGGCUCUCCUUCCUGUGUCAAUUACCCUUUUCCAAUCAAUGUGCAGGAACAGCCUAGAAUUUAAAGCCUCUCAGCACAACUAUUUUUUGGCAUUCAGUUACAUAUCGUUUGUAAGACACCAAAACAAAUUUCAAAUUUCAUUCUAGAUAAGCACACAUCAAACAGCCUAAAAACCCCAGAAUUUAGAAUGCAUAACCCUUUAAUUAUUAGAAAACACAUUGAAACACUGAAAUAUGCAGAUCCAAAUUAAUCCUAAAAUCUCAGAAAGAACUAUGUUGCUGGAAUAUGCAUAAUAUUGCACAUUUUAACCCACUCUCCAAAACACUGGUGUCAGUCAGCUGAAGGUGUGGAGGGUGGCCAGGUUGUCUCAAGGACAGAGCUGGGAUCUUUAUCCCUGGGAUAAUAAAUUCUCUUGGAAGUGACUGGGAUCCAGUCAUAAGACAAGGAACAUCCACCAUUCUAAUUUUUUAUUGUUUCUUUCUAAUACCUGAGACAAAUAUCUCCUUUUAUCAGUUUUUCUCCUACUUUUUCACAUUGGGAAUGUUAGAAAAGUUCAGCAUGACUCCAAGGUGAUCCUGAAAAAACACCCAGACUUUUCCAGUACUUAUUUAGGGACAGGUGUCCCAGGAAGUGUCACAUGUGUCACAACCAGUGUGUUGCAGAGCAAAUACAACAAUCUUUUAUUAACAACCAUCACUGACUACUUCUAAAGCAAAAACCAAACACCACAGGCACUUCAUAUUUGAAAUAUGAUGGUCUUAAAACUUGAUAGAGAAACCUUAAAGGCCAGUAGUACUUUAUUUUGGUUUGUAUUCAACUCCAGGCCUAUCAGAGGAAUCAGCAGGGAGUAAAAAGGACAUUAAAUUUCUUUUAAUCAGAUGUUAGUGUCAUUCACAGAUGAUGCAGGAAGGAAAGGCAAACCUAAGUAGAAAUAGAGCAAUACUAUCGAACUGACAGCAAGAAGUAUACUUGAGGUUAAUCUGCCUUUUACUAAGAAGCAAUUUUCUAAGUUUCUAGUACGGAAGUUUUUAAUUGAAUAUCCAUCUACCUUUCACCAAAGUGUUCUGGCAGUUUUACAGCAGCAAAAUAGAAAAUUAGUUGGAAAAAAUCUCGUUCUACAGCAGCAGCAUAAGACUUUCCUAUGAUGAACUAUCAUAUAAAUUGCUUGGAGAUUAUAUGCUGCUAUGAGAAAGAGGAAGGGGAUAGAGGGAGAAGAGAAUUCAAAAUAAAAUAUAGUGGAGUGCUGAGACAGUCCUUCUCAUCCAGAUUGUUUAAAAGUCUUAGCUGUACUCUAAAUCUGAAAGUUAUGGUCUUAAACAGCAGCUAUAAAUAGGGAAAAAUGUCCAGCAGCAAGGCACUCUCAUUCUGCCUUACCUGGGGACAGGCUGAGUUAGUGCAGGUUCCAAAGUGGCACAGCAAAGGCACAGACUGCAUUUUUCAAGGAAUCAAACACAAGUUUACUGUGGCUUUUGAGGUGGUAUUUUAAUGUACAAUGUGCUACACAAAUAGAUUCCUGUAGUCUUAAGAGGAGUG